CCGACCUUAGCUCAGUUGGUAGAGCGGAGGACUGUAGUUUGAUUAAUCUAACUUGGAAAUCCGUAGGUCGCUGGUUUGAAUCCGGCAGGUCGGA
rnacentral:tRNA from 1 species